rnacentral:rRNA from 1 species
UACGUAGGUGACAAGCGUUAUCCGGAAUUACUGGGCGUAAAGCGCACGCAGGCGGCGCGGUAAGUCUGAUGUGAAAUCUCCCGGCUUAACUGGGAGUGGUCAUUGGAAACUGCCGAGCUUGAGGCGAUGAGAGGGGUGUAGAAUUCCCGGUGUAGUGGUGAAAUGCGUAGAUAUCAGGAGGAACACCGGUGGCGAAGGCGAGUCUCUGGGCAGUAACUGACGCUGAGGAGCGAAAGCGUGGGGAGCGAACAGG